GAGGUGUGCUCAGAGCAGGUGGCUUCUCUGUUUACAACACACCCAACGGGAAUUUAGGGUUAUUGGGACAAGGGGCACAAAACUUGAGACUUCUCUCUGAGCAAACAUCCUACACAU
rnacentral:snoRNA from 1 species